AACGAACGCUGGCGGCAUGCCUAACACAUGCAAGUCGAACGAGACCUUCGGGUCUAGUGGCGCACGGGUGCGUAACGCGUGGGAACCUACCCUUAGGUUCGGAAUAACUCCCCGAAAGGGGUGCUAAUACCGGAUAAUGUCUUCGGACCAAAGAUUUAUCGACUUUGGAUGGGCCCGCGUUGGAUUAGCUAGUUGGUAGGGUAAAAGCCUACCAAGGCGACGAUCCAUAGCUUGGUUGAGAGGAUGGUUAGCCACACUGGGAGUGAGACACGGCCCGGACUCCUACGCGAGGCAGCAGUGGGGGAUAUUGGACAAUGGGCGAAAGCCUGAUCCAGCACUGCCGCGUGAGUUAUGAAGGCCUUAGGGUUGUAAAGCUCUUUUACCCGGGAUGAUAAUGACAGUACCGGGAGAAUAAGCUCCGGCUAACUCCGUG
rnacentral:rRNA from 1 species